AGCGAACGCUGGCGGCAGGCCUAACACAUGCAAGUCGAACGAACUCUUCGGAGUUAGUGGCGGACGGGUGAGUAGCACGUGGGAACGUGCCUUUAGGUUCGGAAUAACUCAGGGAAACUUGUGCUAAUACCGAAUGUGCCCUUCGGGGGAAAGAUUUAUCGCCUUUAGAGCGGCCCGCGUCUGAUUAGCUAGUUGGUGGGGUAAUGGCCCACCAAGGCUACGAUCAGUAGCUGGUCUGAGAGGAUGACCAGCCACAUUGGGACUGAGACACGGCCCAAACUCCUACGGGAGGCAGCAGUGGGGAAUCUUGCGCAAUGGGCGAAAGCCUGACGCAGCCAUGCCGCGUGUAUGAUGAAGGUCUUAGGAUUGUAAAAUACUUUCACCGGUGAAGAUAAUGACUGUAGCCGGAGAAGAAGCCCCGGCUAACUUCGUGCCAGCCGCCGCGGUAACAC
rnacentral:rRNA from 1 species